rnacentral:rRNA from 1 species
GGUUGAUCCUGCCAGUAGCAUAUGCUUGUCUUAAAGACUAAGCCAUGCAUGUCUAAGUAUAAACUAUUUUAUACGGUGAAACUGCGAAUGGCUCAUUAAAUCAGUUAUAGUUUAUUUGAUAAUACCUACUACUUGGAUAACCGUAGUAAUUCUAGAGCUAAUACAUGCAAAAAGGGGUGACGCAAGAAGCCCUGCAUUUAUUAGAUACAAAACCAGUGCGUGCGUGCCUUCGCGGGUGCGUACGAAACACAUGGCGAGUCAUAAUAACUUAGCGAAUCGCAUGGCCUCCGUG